rnacentral:lncRNA from 1 species
UUGAACAUUUAUUCAACAUAUUUAAAAUAUAUAUAAAAAUAUGAUACCUUUAUAAAUCGGUUACAUAGAAAUUUCUAUGCAUUACCUCUUUGUAAUGCAAUUUUUUCCAAUUAAAAGACAAGAAAAUUGAACAUUCUUCUUUUUCCCGUUUCACAUGAUACUUCAACUUGUAUUUGCUUUUUAUCAUUCUAAAUAAAAUAAUACUAUACUCCAUUCGUCUCACAAAAACAUGAAUAUUUUGCCAUUUUGAGGCGUCUCACAAAAACAUGAACAUUUCUAUUUUUAUACACUACCCCACCACAAUUCCUUUACUUUUAAUUAUGUAUAGUUUUUAUAAAGUGGGCCUUUUUUUCCACUCAUAAUAUAAUUUUAUCUAAUAUUUCUUAAAAUUCGUGUCACUUACAAAUGUUCAUAUUUUUGUGGGACGGAUGAAGUAAUAAUUAAAGUAUAAGUUUAUCACAUUUUAUGUUUGAAUGCAGUGAAACCCUUUUCCAACGGUGCCUCUGCUACAGCUAAUAUUUGGAGCAAUGAGGACAAAACUCAGCAGAUGUAGUGGAUACUGUUCAUCCGUUACGUGACUUUUAUUUUCUCUCUCUCUUAUUUCUUCCUUGUAUUUUAUGAUUUAUCAAAAAUAUUUAAAUAUGAUUGAGCAUAAAUAUAUAGGAUACUAUAAUAAUUAAAUGACAUAAUUAUUUAAUGAUAGAAAGCAUAAAAAUAGAAUAUUCUAUUGAGUUCAAUGUAGAAUUGAUUGUAAGUCUUUGUGCUUUAUAAAUUAGUUACAUGAGACAAGAAGAUUGUACAUUCUUCCUUUUCCCGUUUUCACACAACACUUCAACGUGUGGAAAAAAAUUUAUAAAACAAUAUAUCUAUCUUUGGUCAUCGUUAAUCACCACAAAAUCUUCCUCUCCAAAUAAGCCGAGAGUUGGGAGAAAGAUAAUUACAUAUUUAGAAGUUGACAUUGAUGAAAUUCUAAAAAUAGAGAUAAAUGAGAAAGAAUAUUUUUUUUAACACUUAAAGUAUCAAAAUGAUAUUAUUUUGAUGUUUAAGUUGAAAAAAAAAAAGUUUUAAGAAAUAGUUCAUGUUAGACUCUGAUGAGAUGAGUAUCUCUUCGUCACCAAAUAUUUUAUAUAAAAAAAGAUAAAUAUUUAAAGAAUUUUUAAGAGAAAACAAAAUUUAGAGACACAAAACACUUAUAAUACUUAUUUUUAUAUAUAAAAAGUGAUUGUUAACCGAACUAUACUUGUACUCAUUAAAUUUAUAACUUUAAUAGUUAUAUAUUUAUGCUUACAAAGUUUAUCUAUUGGUGCUAUGGUUAAAGUAUCAUUUUGACUUUAAAGGUGUGAAGAAUAAUCAUGCAUGCUUCAAUCCAUAUACCGCGAUAUGAAAAUGUAAACACUAGACACAAAUUACUGAUCUUCACCAGCAAAUGGUGUAAGCUACAAAUAAAAUUAUGAAAAUUAUAUGUGAAAUAGUGUCAAAAAAAUAUGAUGCAUAAAUAUAGGAGGACAGAUGAAGUACUAUAAAAUCAAAUGAUUAUACUAAUAAAAAAAAAGAAAAAAAAUCUCAAAUUUGACUACACACAAUCAACAAGCAGAAUCGAAAAAUUCAUCUUCACCUUCCCUACUGCGCUUUAAGGUCGGCGGUAGCAGCUGCUGCUUCCUUGCUAUGUGUGAUGCAAGCUGAGAACUUAGAGAGAGAAACAGACAAACUCAGUGAGAGAGAGAGAGAGAGAGAGGAUUAAGGAGCAGAAUUGGAUGAGUGAUGCAAGCUAGCAUUUAAUUAAUUCAUUCAAGAUAUGGUUUUCCUUUUUAAUUUUUUAUAUUUCAAUCUUGGCCGACGCGUUUUUUAAUACUUUGACUAUGACCAGUUAGUUGAUGAAUGUUUUGGUGGGUGGUAUUAACAUAAUCCCUCCCAUCCUUAUAAAAAAAAUUUAUUUCUAAACGGUACAAAUUAUCAUAGGAUCUCGCUUUAUUGUGAGUAGAAAACUCACAAAAAAUAAAUUAGAUUGAUUUUAUGAAGACGAACAAAAAUAACAAAUUGAAUACAUUUUAUGAGGACGAGGGGGUAAAAAAUUGUUGAAUAUAGUAUUUAGUUAAAAUUUUAAUAAUGUGGUAAAGGUAUUAAAAUAUAUAAAUAUGCUAUCUUUAUAAAUUGGUUACAUAGAAAUUUAUAUACAUCUCUAUAUAAUGCGCUUCUUUUUCCAAUUAGGGUGCGUUCUCUUUGAUUGUAAAUUUAUCAUGAGAAAAUUAGGGAAAAACAAAAUUUUACCAUUUAAAUCAUUCCUUUCUUUUUCCACAUUUCCUACUUGACCCUUACCCAUUUCUCAUUUACACUACAAAGGAGGGAUAAUAUUAUCCCUCCAAAAAUGGUGUGAUAAUAUUAUCCCCCAUUUGUAGUGUAAAUGAGGAAUGA